GGAUUCUUAGCUCAAUUUGGACAGAGCGCUCAGGGCUAUUUCCUGGGACGGUGGUGGUUCGAAUCCUCCAGAAUCCU
rnacentral:tRNA from 1 species